rnacentral:rRNA from 1 species
UGCGAGUCGAGAGUCUUAGGGACUCGGCGUACCGCUCAGUAACACGUGGGUAACCUGCCCUGUGCUGGGGAAUAACCUCGGGAAACUGAGAAUAAUGCCCCAUAGUUCACUACGCCUGGAACGGUGGGUGGAUCAAAGCUCCGGCGGCACAGGAUGGGCCUGCGGCGUAUCAGGUUGUAGGGGGUGUAACGUACCCUCUAGCCUUCAACGCGUACGGGUUGUGGGAGCAAUCGCCCGGAGAUGGAUUCUGAGACACGAAUCCAGACCCUACGGGGUGCAGCAGGCGCGAAAACUUCACACUGCAGGAAACUGUGAUGAGGGAAUUCCAAGUGGCUAGACAAAGUCUAGUCUUUUUGUAACUUUUAAUCGGUUACAGAAUAAGGGGUGGGAAAGACCGGUGCCAGCCGCCGCGGUAAUACCGGCACCUCAAGUGGUCGUCGCUUUUAUUGGGCCUAAAACGUCCGUCGCCUGGUUGGUACAUUCGUGGGUAAAUCAACCAGCUUAACUGGUUGAAUUCUGCGAGGACGGCCAGACUAGGGACCGGGAGAGGUAUGGGGUACUCUCAGGGUAGGGGUAAAAUCCUGUCAUCCUGAGGGGACCCCCUGUUGCGAAGGCGCCAUACUAGAACGGAUCCGACGGUCAGGGACGAAGCCUAAGGGCACGAACCGGAUUAGAUACCCGGGUAGUCCUAGGUGUAAACGCUGUGGACUUGGUGUUGGGGAUUCUACGAGUAUCCCCAGUGCCGGAGUGAAGAUGUUAAGUCCACUGCCUGGGGAGUACGGUCGCAAGGCUGAAACUUAAAGGAAUUGGCGGGGG